GGAGAGAUGGCUCAGUGGUUAAGAGCACUGGUUUUUUUCCAGAGGACCUGGGUUCAAUUCCCAGCACCC
rnacentral:tRNA from 1 species